UACGGAGGGGGGCAAGCGUUUGUUCGGAAUUAUUGGGCGUAAAGGGCGCGUAGGCGGUCGGGUAAGUCACCUGUGAAAUCUCUGGGCUCAACUCAGAGUCUAGCAGGCGAAACUGCCUGGCCUGGAGUGUGGGAGAGGUGCGUGGAAUUCCCGGUGUAGCGGUGAAAUGCGUAGAGUAUCGAGAGGAACACCUGCGGCGAAGGCGGGUUGCUGGGCUGAUACUGACGCUGGAGGCGCGAAAGCCAGGGAGCGAACGGG
rnacentral:rRNA from 1 species